rnacentral:rRNA from 1 species
UAGUCAUAUGCUUGUCUCAAAGAUUAAGCCAUGCAUGUCUCAGUGUAAACUUUUAAACAGUGAAACUGCGAAUGGCUCAUUAAAACAGUUAUAGUUUAUUUGGUAUUCACUUUUACAUGGAUAACCGUGGGAAUUCUAGGGCUAAUACAUGCGUAAACCCGCAAGGGAUGUGUUUAUUAGAUUAAAACCAUCACGUGCUUCUGUACGUUGAAUUGGAAUGAUAAUAACCGAUCGAAUCGCACGCUUUAUGUGGCGAUAGACCAUUCAAGUUUCUGA